UACGUAGGGUGCGAGCGUUGUCCGGAAUUACUGGGCGUAAAGGGCUCGUAGGCGGCCAACUAAGUCGGAUGUGAAAUCCCCAGGCUUAACCUGGGAACUGCAUCCGAUACUGGAUGGCUUGAAUCCGGGAGAGGGAUGCAGAAUUCCAGGUGUAGCGGUGAAAUGCGUAGAUAUCUGGAGGAAAACCGGUGGCGAAGGCGGCAUCCUGGACCGGCAUUGACGCUGAGUGAGCGAAAGCCAGGGGAGCAAACGGG
rnacentral:rRNA from 1 species